GUGCUCCCUUUAGCAGCACAUAUACUAAAACUGGAGUAAUUUAGAGAAGAUUGGCAUGGCCCCCGCACAAGGAUGAUACACAGAUUCAUCAAGCGUUCCAAAGUUUU
ensembl:snRNA U6 U6 spliceosomal RNA